rnacentral:rRNA from 1 species
ACGGGUGAGUAACGCGUGGGAAUCUACCGUGCCCUGCGGAAUAGCUCCGGGAAACUGGAAUUAAUACCGCAUACGCCCUACGGGGGAAAGAUUUAUCGGGGUAUGAUGAGCCCGCGUUGGAUUACCUAGUUGGUGGGGUAAAGGCCUACCAAGGCGACGAUCCAUAGCUGGUCUGAGAGGAUGAUCAGCCACAUUGGGACUGAGACACGGCCCAAACUCCUACGGGAGGCAGCAGUGGGGAAUAUUGGACAAUGGGCGCAAGCCUGAUCCAGCCAUGCCGCGUGAGUGAUGAAGGCCUAGGGUUGUAAAGCUCUUUCACCGGAGAAGAUAAUGACGGUAUCCGGAGAAGAAGCCCCGGCUAACUUCGUGCCAGCAGCCGCGGUAAUACGAAAGGGGCUAGCGUUGUUCGGAAUUACUGGGCGUAAAGCGCACGUAGGCGGAUAUUUAAGUCAGGGGUGAAAUCCCAGAGCUCAACUCUGGAACUGCCUUUGAUACUGGGUAUCUUGAGUAUGGAAGAGGUAAGUGGAAUUCCGAGUGUAGAGGUGAAAUUCGUAGA